rnacentral:rRNA from 1 species
GAUGAACGCUGGCGGCGUGCCUAAUACAUGCAAGUCGAGCGAACGGACGAGAAGCUUGCUUCUCUGAUGUUAGCGGCGGACGGGUGAGUAACACGUGGAUAACCUACCUAUAAGACUGGGAUAACUUCGGGAAACCGGAGCUAAUACCGGAUAAUAUUUUGAACCGCAUGGUUCAAAAGUGAAAGACGGUCUUGCUGUCACUUAUAGAUGGAUCCGCGCUGCAUUAGCUAGUUGGUAAGGUAACGGCUUACCAAGGCAACGAUGCAUAGCCGACCUGAGAGGGGGACCGGGCACAGUGGGACUGAGGCACGGCCCAAACUCCGACGGGAGGCAGCAGGGGGGAAGAGUACAGAAGGGGAGAAAGCCUGAUGCUUCGACGCCGCGGGAGAUAAGAAGUAGGUAGAUAUGUAAAGCUCUAUCAGCAGGGAAGAUAAUGACGGUACCUGACUAAGAAAAACCGGCUAAAUACGCG